rnacentral:lncRNA from 1 species
AGAUGGUUGUGAGACUUGGCGCCUUCCUCAAGAACUCCUGGGCCAAGGAGCCAGUGCUGGUGGUCUCCUUCGUCAUCGGGAGCCUCACUGUAAUUCUGCCCCCACUCAGCCCCUACACCAAGUAUUCCAUCAUGAUCAAUGAGGCCACACCCUACAACUAUCCAGUGCCCGUCCACGAUGAUGGGAACAUGCGGACAUGUGCAGCCACCCCCAGGGCCCCCAGGGCCCCAGCUUGGAGUGGCUGAAGAAA